AUCUGAAGUUCCCGGGCUCCGCGGGAAGCGCUCUGAGGACCUCUGCUUCCGGACCUCCUGGAGGAAGGAUCGGGACUUGCAAGGGCGACUGGAUACCGCCUUCCUGGGCAGGCUCAGCACACUACAGACUCCUGCCUACAUCAUCCACGUGGUCGCCCCGAGUAUGGGAAAGCAGACAAAGUGGACCCCUAGAAAUUCCUGCAACCUCCCGAAGGCGUGUUACCUCAGCUACACGGUUCGACACGGUUCGACACACUUCAUGCCGAACACUUUGAACUUUGGUCCAAAGUUCGGUCAACUACCCCCACGCAAAAUGGCGAAACAAUUUGAACACACACUGAAUGGUCCAACUGGGUCUCAGCCACCAACCCACUCCCCUCCGACCCCAGCGCCAGAGCGCGCUAACGCUGAGGCACCGUGGAGAGGCGUUUCCAGGGCCUGAAGGUGGUGAUCCAGGCCCCUGGAGAGAGAGAGACGAGCAGGACCAGAUGGACAGAGUUCACUUCCCAGGGAUGCUGAACCCUGCACAAGGUGGAAGUGACUGAGCAGUCCGAGUCAGUUGGAUCAAUGGAACUAAGGCUCUGUUGUAUCCGUGGCUCAAGAAGUCCCUGCAGGGGAGCCGGGCAUUUGAGACGCUGAGCAGCACAAAAGAUAACUGGAUGGUCUGGCCAAAGGACUUGGGGAACCCAGAGUGGCGCUCACCGGGAAGCCGACUCACCCUCUGGCUCUGCAGAGAGUGGCCCCACUGCGCAAGAACUGCUGGAGCCGAAAAGGAUGAACCUUAUGAGGUGAGAAGCUGGGUCCGGAGACCCCAGUCUCACCUCGGGGCGAAAAGAAGAAAUUCACCUACCUUCGGGACCACUGAGAACUUUCUAAAGCUCCGCGCCUCAGCUUGCGUCUCUCAAAUUCUACAUGAGGAAAGCAGAUGCAUCAACCAGAACAUCAUGGUAGGGGGCGGCCAGAGACCACUAGAUCGUGGUAUUGGACUCAGAAAGCUAAGGAAUCGGAGAAGACUCUGAAGGUGCCUGCAGCUCAGUGACAGAAAGGAGUGUUUGAGUGGCAGCUUUGAGACAACCCAGCAUUCCUUUGUGUAUGCUGGUGCGCACAUGUACAGAGGUCGGAGGACAGACAGUUUGUGGAUUCUGGGAAUGGAGCUCAGGUCGUGAAGCUUAGCAGUAAUCACCCAUACUGGCUGAACCAUCUCACCAGCCUUCUUCUAGGUUUCAGACUGGACUCGAGUGUGUGAUCAGCUUUCCUCCUAAGCAUCGCUGGAGCCUUCAGCAGCACAGUGCUGCCUUUGGACCCUUGCCAUUGCUGUGUGUGACAUGGAACCUCACACAUGUCCUGUCCUGACUGGAAACCUGCUCUGCUUCAGCCCCCUACGUGGAGCACAACCUCCAGUCCUGAAGGGACUAUGAUUGAACCCAGGUCCACAUGAAUGUUCUACCACCGAUCUACAUUGAACUCCCUUUUUAUUUUAUUUUGAGACAAGGUCUCACUGAGUUGCCCAUACUGGACUCUCAAACUUGGAACACUCAUGCCUUAGACUCCCAAGUAACCAGUAUUAUAGGCAUGAACUACCAUGCCCUGUCUGGAGGGUUUCUUGGUUAACCACCUCUGUAAGAAUGAGCUCAGGGCGGGGGGGGGGGGGGAGGUGGCAAACCCCCAGCAUUAUGAAUUAAUACCCUGCCUCUCCCAUAUAUGGCACAGUAUCUGCCUAAUAAA